rnacentral:tRNA from 1 species
UCGGGAUAGCUCAGUUGGUAGAGCAGAGGACUGAAAAUCCUCGUGUCGUC